rnacentral:rRNA from 1 species
AUACAGAGGGUGCGAGCGUUAAUCGGAAUUACUGGGCGUAAAGCGCGCGUAGGUGGAUCAAUUAGUUGAGGGUGAAAUCCCCGGGCUCAACCUGGGAACUGCAUCUGAUACUGGUAAGCUAGAGUUUUGGAGAGGGAAGUAGAAUUUCAGGUGUAGCGGUGAAAUGCAUAGAGAUCUGAAGGGAUACCAGUGGCGAAGGCGACUUCCUGGCCAAAAACUGACGCUGAGGUGCGAAAGCGUGGGUAGCAAACGGGAUUAGAAACCCCAGUAGUCC